GGCUUCGAAUUCCAGCUCUAACACAAUAAAAUGAUAAAGGGUUGGCCAACAUGACGAGUGAAUGUGGGUCGUUUCGGAAAUAACAAAGGUACGAACGCUGUAUAGAAAAUGCCCCUAAGUCGAGCCUACAACAAAUAGUGGCGCAACUAAUGAACUAAGGGGUUAACAAAGCAAUACUACACUCACUUAUACUCGAGCGUGUGAGUACAGCUUAAUGA
rnacentral:lncRNA from 1 species